rnacentral:rRNA from 1 species
CAAUAGCGUAUAUUUAAGUUGUUGCAGUUAAAAAGCUCGUAGUUGGAUUUUGGGUCGGGGCGUCCGGUCCGCCGUUCCGGUGUGUACUGGGCGCCCCUUCCUUUCUGCCGGGGACCGCCUGGGGCUUUAAGUAGCUCGAGGCGGGAGUCGGCGUUGUUACUUUGAAAAAAUUAGAGUGUUCAAAGCAAGCCAUCGCUCUGAAUACAUUAGCAUGGAAUAACAUGAUAGGACUCUGCUCUUAUUUUGUUGGUUUCCGAGACUGGAGUAAUGAUUAAGAGGGACAGUCGGGGGCAUCCGUAUUUCAUUGUCAGAGGUGAAAUUCUUGGAUUUAUGAAAGACGAACUUCUGCGAAAGCAUUUGCCAAGGAUGUUUNCAUUAA